rnacentral:rRNA from 1 species
ACGCUCGACACCUACGGGGAGGCAGCAGUUGGGAAUAUUGGACAAUGGAGGGAAACUCUGAUCCAGUGACGCCGCGUGAAGGAAGAAGGUCUUCGGAUUGUAAACUUAUUUUGUCAGGGGAAAGAAAAAAUGACUGUACCUGAAGAAAAAGCACCGGCUAACUACGUGCUAGCACGCCGGCGGUAAUCUGAGGCGGGCGUGGCAAGGC